GGUAGUGCUAAAAUACAACGGAUGCAAUAUCAAUUUCGGCCACUGUCGCUCUGUGGCGCACUUACACGCUUUGCACCUCCAGGAGAUUUCAAGCCGCCAUUUUGUUUCCGCGUCUGAAAGACAGGGCACGCUCAGGACUUUGCACGUUUUAUUCAGCGCCUUCUCGUCUCAUCGACCGAUAAGUGUUAUGAUCACACAUCUCCAAGGCUGUUUGCAAAAUGGUCCCAUAGGCUACAAUUGACCUUUGACUUUUACUGCACUUUUUACUAAACUCCGGUUGCCAAGUGGGUGCGGGAGGAGUUGUGACCGAAAGGAACUGUUAUAUUGGGACCACGACUGCCUCAUGUCUGAUUUUGGGAAGUUAUAAUUCUUAUAUAUUACCAUGCAUUUUUUUAAGAAAUGUGAUGAGAUUUUAUAAAAUAGUAAUUAUUUUUUCCCCCAUUUUGUUUAUCUGUAUUGUGUAUGUGUCUUUGUUUAUCUGUUUCUUCUUACAUUGUUAAAAUGGGUUUGUUAAAUUGUGCAUACAAUAAUUUGUUUUUAUAUGUUUAUGAUGAUUUACAGAUGUCAUGUUUUGCAUUGAUAUAGUAAAGAAUGUAGCGCUUUUACGUUAACCCAAAGAUCUCUUCGCAUAGAAAUUGGUCCAAUUCUGGUAAAAAAACAAUAGCAAAACCAAAAAAAUAUAUAUAUUUAAGAUAAAAAGAUACAAAUUGUCUACAGUCCCUGACAAAAGUCAGGUCUCUUAACCUGACUUUUAAUUAAUCAAUUGGUGUUAGAAAUAGCUCAUAUGAAACGCUAAAACCCUCCCAAAUAACUUUUAAUGCACGGAAAUAAAUCAGUUUCACUGGAAAAAGAUUGAUCAUUUAAUCAAGACAGAAAGGACAAAUUUUGGCAAGACAAAAGUUUUGUUGCCUUUACAGUAAUUGAACAAAUUUACUGCAAAUACAAAAAUAUGUCAGCAAAUUAAGUAGUGGCGCUCUGAGAUCCAAAUUUAAUAUCUUGUAUGACUUCCAUGAGCUUGAAGGACUGCAUCCAUGCGGUUUGGCAAGGAUUCAUACAAUUUAUUGAUGAAGUCAUCAGGAAUAGCAAAGAAAGCAGUCUUGCAUGCCUCCCAGAGUUCAUCAAUAUUCUUUGGUUUCGUCUUCAAUGCUUCCUCUUUCAUCCUUUCAUCAUAUGUUCAAUGAUGUUCAUGUCUGGUGACUGGGCUGGCCAAUCCUGGAGCAUCUUGAUCUGCUUCGCCUUGAGGAACUUUGAUGUGGAGAUGGAACUAUGCGAUGUAGCACCAUCCUGCUGCAGAAUUUGGCUCUUUUAUGAUCUGUCGCACACCCCCAUACUGGACGUAACCCCAGACCAUGAUUUUUCCGCCUGCAAACUUCACUGUUUUCUGGGUGAAUCUCAGAUCCAUGCGGGCUCCAGUAGGUCUCCUGCAAUAUUUGCGGCGACUGUGGUGUAAUUCAACAGAAGAUUCGUCUGAAAAAUCCAUCUUUUGCCACUUUUCCAGCGUCCAUCCUUUUAGCAGGCUGUGGGCCUUGGCAAAUGCCACACGGUUUUUCAAUUGUCUUUUGUUUAGUGCUGGCUUCUGGGCACUGAUUCGACCAUGGAGGCCAUUUCGAGACAGAAUCUGACAAACUGUUCUGGUUGACACAGGGACUUCAGAUGACCAGGUCUCGUGGAGCUCUGCUGCAGUGGAAAACGGGCUGGCCUUGGAUUUUCGAGCCAACAAACGGUCCUCUCAAGCAGUUGUCUUGCGGGGUCUGCCUGACCUGGGCUUGUCAAAAACGUCUACCGUCUCUUCAAAUCUUUUUAUCCUCUGUACUUGAUGUUGAGACACAUUGAAGGUGUCUGCCACAUCAGCAGUGGAUCUUGUCUUCAGCCUCUUGAUAAUCAAAACUUUAGUCUAAUGGUGACUCUUAGGCAUGUUUGCAGAGGUCUAGUUGCAGUUGAUGUGAAGGUCUAGUGUACUGGGGUUCUAUUUAUACACACCUGAGACCUAAUUGAUCCAUUAUUAGUUACAGUUUCAUAUGACAAGGCGACAACACUUAUAUCUUUUCAAAAAUUGACUCAAUUGCCUUUACCAAGCUGUGAAUAUUACAAUCCUUUUUGACAGUUUUGUUUUGCACUGAAACAUUAUUACAAGAGAUGUUGAGAUUAAAAUGAGCCAUUUCUUGUAAAAAAAAUCUUGAUUAGAAAUAUAUUUCAGCAGCACUUCAGGUCAAUAUGUACACAAGCGACAAGACUUUUGUAAGGGAUUGUAGUUUGUAAAAAAAAACAAUUUUUUAUUGAAUAUGACAUUUACCAUGUCGUGCAAUGACAAAAGCUGUCUGAUUGAACUAAACUGAAUAGUUUUCUGUAUCUUAUAGUUACAAUACUUUUCCGGUAAAUUUCUUAAGUAGCAUAUGUGUGUGUGAUUUAAAGUUCUAAAAAUGUCAAGUGCGAUUUUUUGAUAACAUGUUUUAGUGAUUUGUUUGAGAGUUAAAGGAGGUUAUCAUUAUAAAGCACUAUACAACCCAGAAAUCGCCCCACAUAAAUUUAUGGUCAGUGGCCACAACUGGUUAUGUGG